rnacentral:rRNA from 1 species
CUAGCCGUAAACGAUGGAUACUAGGCGUUGAGAGGAUCGACCCUCGCAGUGCCGUAGCUAACGCGUUAAGUAUCCCGCCUGGGGAGUACGCGCGCAAGCGUGAAACUCAAAGGAAUUGACGGGGGCCCGCACAAGCGGUGGAGUAUGUGGUUUAAUUCGAUGCAGCGCGAAGAACCUUACCAGGGCUUGACAUGUCCGGAACCCUGCCCAAAGGUGGGGGUGCCUACGGGAGCCGGAGCACAGGUGGUGC